GUCGUGUCUUACUCUGGAGGUUGGUGCUCAUCUCCAUUUCUAAGCCGAAGAGCCGGCGUUGUCCGUAGACUCCUCCAAGGUCAUGUGGGAUGACUACAUGGAGCAGCGUUACCUUCCCGCCGGAGCAGUACCUAUUGCUGCACUCACAUUUGCAUGUUUUCGAACUUCUGGGUUGGCAGAAGCUGGGGCUAACAGUGGGGGCUCUCUCCGCUCCCCCAAUUCAAACCUGUGGCCUUUCGGUCCAGAAGUUCAGCAGCUCAGCGCUUUAACACGCUGCGCCAUCAGGGGAUAUUAUUUCCUAAAGGUUGUGAAUAUACAAUAUUUCUGAUUGUUUUUUUUUGUUUGUUGGAGGCAAGUAUGAAUACUGCAAUUAGGAAAAAUGAUUAGGAUGUAAUGGCCUUGCAGCUUUAAAGCCUGGCUGUUUCCUCCCUGGGUGAAUUUUUUGUUGGGAGGUGUUAGCUGGCCCUGAUUGUUUCCUGUCUGGAAUUCCCUUGUUUUCAGAGUGGUGUUGUUUGCGAUAUUUUAUGUGCUUCUACUGUCGGUGGCCCUGAGAAAACAGAGGAUUUUCCAGACUUUGAUGAUGGGAAUACUUUGUUGGGAGGUGUUAGCUGGCCCUGAUUCUUUCCUGUGUGGAAUUCCCCUGUUUAUUUACUGUCCUGGUUUUAGAGAUUAUAUUGUUCUGCAUUAUUCUAUCCCAGUAAUUAUUUCAUAUUAAAGAAGAAUCUCACUUA